rnacentral:tRNA from 1 species
GCCGACUUAGCUCAGCAGGCAGAGCAACUGACUUGUAAUCAGUAGGUCACCAGUUCAAUUCCGGUAGUCGGCACCA